UCGAUGGGCGUUGUUUUGCUUCCGUUCAGUUAACGCGGUGGCCUAAGCCGACGCCUCUGGGGGUUGCGCGAGUGGGAGCACCCAGGCCUGGAAGAGGCGGGGAGGUGGGCACCAGGGGCUGUCCUGCGGAACGGAGGCGCGGCCCCGCGGGGUCGCCGGUGCUGAGGGGCCGCAGCCCGGGCGGUCCGUCCCGCGUCUCCCCACGCAGACGUGCCUGAGACCCUCGAGGGGACGGGCUGGGGUCGCCGGGGGCCUGCCGGUCCGCCGCCAAGCGGGAGGCUGUCGGUCCAGGGGAGCCUGCCUCGUUGGGCCCGCCUUCACGCCUUGCCCCACUUUCCGCCCCGCCCGAAGGCCAGGCCCCGCCCCUUUGGCUGGAGCCCCGCCCCCACGCGAGUCUGGGGUCUGCGGCUGGGCUGGCUAGAAUUGUCGUCCUUCCCGCGGGCUGCUAGGUCGGCGGGUCUUUGCAGCUGCAGGCUGCUCGCGGUUCGCCCGCGCCGGCUGUUUGCCAUUUCCCGGCGCGGUUCUGAGCGUUCUGCUCCCGCGUCUGGGAGGGGCGCUGGAAGAGACGUGCAGCGUCUAGAAGGGCGGCUGGGCCGAGCGCAGGAGCAGGGACCCUCCGCGGUCACCCAGCCGCUCGCGAUCCCCGCGGCCGGCCACGCUCGGACGCUGACAGCGAGAGGGCCCCGGGGACAGUCUGGCUCCAGGAUGGUCACCACCACCACCUGCACCCGGUUCACGGACGAGUACCAGCUCUUUGAGGAGCUCGGGAAGUAAGCGCGGCGCUCGGGGGAAUGGUCCUGCACGCGUCCGCCCCCGUCACCCCGAGAGCCUGUGUGGCCGCAGCGUAGACCGGUUUCUGUAAGCGGAGAUGCCUCCGGAGUCCGCGGCGACCGUGCGCGGAAGGGUCGCGCGGUCCCUGCGUUGCCGUGUUACUGAUGCCCAGAGUUGCACGUCCAGAGAGGGGCCGUUCAGACCUGCUCGACUCUGCCCGCGUCCCUGUCACCCAUAGCUCGGGUGACCUGCUCGUCAUUCCCUCCCAGGGCUCCCACGCCUCCGCUUCUUCCCCGGAGGAUUCACGCUCAACGGGAGAGCCUUUUGGACACCGGGGAACCCCCAGGGCGGCCUAGCGGUGCGCGAACCUGUAGGACCGCCGGACACGUGCCGGCAGCGAACGGGGACCUGCUGAAGCCCGUGCAUGGAGACCUGCUGAGGGUCUGAUGGUGCGCGGGGAACCUGGAGCGACCGGGCGGCUGAUGAUACGAUUUAUGCAGCGUCUGACCCAAACCCAAUCCUCUGCCCGUUUCCACUAUCAUUGCUGAAAGGGUGCGGUGUAUGAUGGUGUUUUAUGCAGCUGAAUGAAGGGAAAAGGAAACAUCUUCUAAAUGGAAUGAACAUUCUGUCUUUAUAUGUUUAUGCAUGGCUUGCUGUCAAAACGGAGAAUAUGUCAGAAGAGCAGCUUAAUUCAAAUCUCUCCUCUCCCCCAGCCCAAAAUAGGGGGAAAUAAACCUACUGGUCAAGAAUACGCUGCCGAAACCAUCAACAGCAAGAAGCUUUCUGCCAGGGGAAGGAAAUCCAGUUUUCUCUGAGUUCUGCUGAUCUGAAGAUGAAAAAGGGGAGAGAAGAUUACACUACGUAAAAUAUGUAAACAGACAUGCAGGACAGUCCCUCCAGACGAAGACGGCAGCAGCCAGUUUGCGAUGUGAACACGUGUGUAAGCUGUUCCUCCCCAUAAGGACGGUCCGUGGACACUGCUCCUUCUCGGGCAGUGACACAGCAAGGGGAAGUAGACUGUAAAGAGUCAGAGAACCUGCUUUCUGAAAUCUGAGCCCUGGGCCGCUCGGGGUGAGGCAGGCUGGGCGGCAGUGGGCCAGUCACCAGACGGCUCUGAGCUGCAGCGUCCAGAGCGGAGGAAGGGCCGGUCCAUCCCAGAAGGCUCCUGCAUCAGCUGGGGCCGCUCAUGUACGGAGAGCGCGAUGGUUCAGAUUAAGUCACACUUCAGAACUUUGGCAUCUGGAUGGAAUUGUCUUGGCCAAGAAGCAAGAAUACUCUUUAGAAGGAAAAAAACACAGUAUUUUAUUUCUUUAUACAUAUAGUGGGUCAUGAUGCAUUAAAUUUCUAGAAAACUUA